GUUCAGAUAUGUAAAGCAAUAACAUCGCCACAAAAACAGUCAUCAGGGAACCAUCUCCACCAUUCUUCAUGUUCUGCGAAGGAAAUAACAAUUUCCACACCAUAUUUAUUGCACCAUGCCCGCCUCCUGCACAUUCUAGACAAGAGCACCCCUGCAUGUCCUCCUUCAUAUUUCAAGCUGUGAGAGCUGUGUGUGCCUUCAUCAUGUAUUCUAAGUGUCUACAUGGGAUGAAAAAAGCAAAUUAAAGAGAAACAGCAGUUAAGAGGAUCAGCUAACAGCAAGAUUAAAGAGCUCAACACAGAAAGUGUGCACAAUGAAGAGACAAGCACGUCAGCAGAAGGCCUUGAAGCUCGCGGGCGAGAAGGCAUCUACUUUGAAGAAUCCUUGGAUCCAAAACAACUACAAGUUAAGUAUUGAUCUGCUGCUCACAUAAUCCAGCAUUCAAACAAAAAAGGGGGUGAAUAAGACAAGCAUUGCUUGGCUCUUCUUUCUGAGGCUACAGAAGCAACCAGAAAGCCUCUGACCCUAAUUGAAGAGGUUUUCUCCUGCCUGAAGAAGGACAACAGGACCGCAGCAUUGCACACCUUCCUGCAUGCACAUCCAGGUAGCGGGAGCUACCCCACUGCACUGCUGCCAAUGAAGGAGCCACAACCUGCCUUUGUGGUACAGUUCGGGCUGGCUGGCUAAACACCGUUGAGAAUUAGUCAUCCAGAAGAUUCUUCAAGAUAAUCCCUGGUUCUCAAACAUAAAUAACAUCGAAUGGUAAUGUUGGAUCAGUUUUUUUGUUCAUGGCUUUCAACCAUCUUUGAUUCACUUGUUCAUAUCAUAUAAAGUUUGU